ensembl:lncRNA
UCUUCAACAUCUUUAUCAAAAGAAGUCUAUAUGCUAUUCCAGUCUCUAAGUUAAUGUAUGAAAAAUGAUUUCCUCUUUAGGCAAGAGACUUGUCUACAUGGGUAACCAGAUUAGGAGAGCUAUUUGAAAAUCAAUGUCAUAAAAAGGUCACACUGUAAAAAAACCUCUAGCAUUUUCCUAGUUUUGUAAAAAUUUUCAGACUCAGGAACUAUCACAAAUGUUUCCAGGUUAAUUUAGAGGUCUGCUGGAUCCCUAGUGGUGUAAGCUGAACAGCUCACGAGCUUUUGCAGAGGAGAAUGAGCACUGUCAUGCUCAUUGGGCUAACAAGGAGAUUAGAGAAGAACUUGGUACAUGAGUUAUCCACGGUGAUACCAUAGAUCCUGUGCUGUGAACAGGAACAAAACAGAAGUCUUCAAAUGUCAUUCAUAACAUCAUUCAUAUUAACUGUUGCAGACACUGGGGCCUUCAGUCCCUAUAAAAUUAAGGCAAGCAAUAUAACAAGUAACAGGCAAAUAACGAAUAAUAUAGCUGGCUUCAGUGAUGGUUCAGACUAUCUUGAUUUCAGAGGACAUAUGUAAGGGUGUGGAAAGGCAACAUUUUUUAAUCUAAGAAAAUGUGCUAGUGAAAGCAGUGGAGUUAGUGUAAGAACACAUGCUGCUGGUAAAGUAAGACAUCCGUGUGCAUUUGGGGUCAGAUGUGCUGACGCUUCUGGGACAGCUUGAUGGUGAAAUUGCUGCAUUAAUGUUUUAGAGAAAGAUGUGUAAAGUUAAAAAAAGAUAAAGCCCUCUUCACUUUCCUAGCUUGAGCAGUUUAAGAGAUGCUCAGCUGUGACUAGAGAGGAAAAGAUGCCAACUUUCCAGCGUGUGUGUGCACAUUUCUUUUGCUCAUAAUUAAUAGCCCCUGUGCUUGCUAAGUUUUUGGAAAGCAGCUCGCAGCCUACCCAGGUAAUGCCUUCUGACAACGUUUUGAAGAUCAGUUAUGUCAUAUGGCUGCCUUUUAGAAAAAAAAUUGUAAUGCAUAGCAGUGCCAUAUGGCAUCUCUGAAGAAUCAGCCGGAUUGGACAGACAUUCAUUGGAUAAAGUCCCACAGCACUUGGAAAAGAAUGUAGUCCUGUUGCCAAAAUGUGGCCUUUGUUAAUCUCCUAACUAUUAUUGUGCAGAAACCAAUUCAUCUGUAUUAAUUAUAAACAAAUUUUAAUUACUUCAGUAAAAGCUCAUU